AAACAGCCAGACAGGGGAAGGCCGACCGGUCCCCAGAUUCCUCCUCUCGGCUGAGCGUCGGGCGGGAGAGAGGGCUGACUCCGCUGGGGGGCCCUGAGGGACCACCCCGGCUGGAGCACGGAUUCUACAAUCCUAGAUUUCAGAGUCCGAGGCGGCAGGGGAAGUGGCGUCAGCAGCUGGCGUGAUCCAAUUCAAUGAACCAGAGGUGGCUUGGGAGGGAAAAGUGAGCGCAAGCGGACCCCCGCCCCCGGGUCCCGCACGUCCGGCACCGUCAGGGAGCCGCUGGAAGCCCCAGCUGCGUCCCCCUUCGCCUGCUGCCCGCUGCCCUGGGCGCCAAGGGGUCGGGUUUCCUGAGGCGCCCUCCACGCCCCCCGGCUUAGCCCCAGCUCCUUCGAGCCAGCUCCCCACCCAGGUGGUGGGCUCCCAAAACCGGAGCCACCACCCCCUCCCCAGCCGCCGGAAACGCCAAGCCGGGGCUGGAGCGGGAGCACCUCCCCGAGGGGCGCGCAGCGCCGUGCUCCCUGAGGGCCGGGCGGGAGCGGCAAGGCCGCGGGCACCUCUCGGCAAAGGAAACUCGAUCCCUCCUGCGGCCGGCGGGGACAGAAGGUGGAGAGGCGGGCGGGGAGGAGGGAACGGAGGGCGUAGGAAGCGCCCAGAGGCCUGGAGAGCGAGUGCUCCAGCACCCGCGGGCCUCGGGGCAGCCUCGGGAUUCCCGGAGCACGGCGGCCCUGGGGGACGGGUAACAGGCUCCCUCCUUCCCCCUGGAGCCGGCCCCGCCCGCGUGGCUCGCGUGGGGCUGAGGGGCUAGGGGCGCCACCCAACCUCCCAGCCUCCCGGCCCUCGGUCUCCAACGUUGGGUUUACUGGACCUCGCGCCCCGAGAAGAGCGUGGGCCGCCUCUUCUCUGCAGACAGGCGGAGGAGAUACAAAGCGGGUUGGGGGGGGGGGGAGGGGGGAAGGAAACGAGGGCGGGGGGGGGGGUUUGAGGGGACAGCUGCGCCCUCUCCUGCCCCUGCCGGGGGUGGGUAGACAAGACGCGGACCGGAGGGGGCGCCCAGAACGCUGGGGGCUGCAGCCCGUGGACCCCCGAAGGCUCCCAGCAGCGGUCGUCCGGAGGUGACAGGGCCUGAUCCCGGGGCCUCCGCGGGCGCCGGAACCCUCCGCGGACCCGGAGCGAGGGGAGGUGCGCGAGGGCGCCCGGUGCUGCGGCGAGCGGGUCUCCCGGGGCGCUCCGAAGACACCGCCCCGGGGCGGAGAUGAAGAAGCGGUCCUCCCGGGACAAGAGACCAGCCUGAGAAAGGAUCCCACUCACACCCCUUCCCCAAAUUAUGUCAGAGGCUAUAAAGGAUGCCACAGCCCUAUGCUGCCCUGGAGGCCAGGGCACCGCCCUGCAAGGUUUCUCAGGCACCGAAGGCUGAGCUGAGUGGAGAGAGGAGUCCUGGACGCCCUGUUGAGAAAGACAGACUGGGGGUUGCAGCAGCUGAAGAUCACAAGAGAGAAGCAGAUAUCCAAACCCUGGUCUUCCUGCACUAAAGCCCUCAGCUGAUACACCGAACUGCGUCCCAGAAAAAGCACCAAGCACUGCACAAAUGGAAAGCAUUUUGUCAAAAUUAUGAUUAUAAACUCAUGCCCGAUUCGUGAGUUACAAAAACAAAACGUAAACAGCACAGCCUGAGUUGUUAAAGCGACUUUUUUCUAAAAGCUCAACGUGCUUUCACUUCAUGGUCUCUCUUCUCCUAAUUUUAUGAUUGUCAUUUUUCUAACCGUUCUCUAAGAGCGCUGUCUCCCAACACUCCUCGGAGGAAAGGAGGAAAUAAGCAGAAGUCAAACCGUAUUACAAUCAGUUCCCAGGGAACAGUGGGAGAUUGUGCUUUGCUGGGCUUUGGUGUUGCAAAAUAUCACUUGACAAAAAAAUUGGAAGCAACUUAGAUGGUUAUCAGCAGGAUGGAGUCAGCUCGGGGAUCAUUCUAAACAACCAUCCAGAGAUGUAGCAACAUGAAAAUAAUGCUUACAGUAUAGUUGUGAGCAAAAAGGAGAAGACCAAAAACACUGUGCAUGCACUCUGUCCUUGCAACCACUAAAAAUAAAUAUAAGUGCUCGUGAUCCAAGACUCAAAAGGACCAUGCACAAAGGAAACAGGCUUUGUUUAAGGUCGAGAGAUUAUGGCUGAUUUUUUCCUCUUAAUUUCCUAAGUAUUCUACAAUAUACUAUAUGGCCUUAAUAACUAAACACAUGUAUAGCUCUAUCUUUAAACGUGGUAAUUCUUUUUUUUUUAAUGUCUAUUUAUUUUUGAGAGACAGAGACAGAGUGUGAGUGGGAGAGGGGCAGAGAGAAAGGAAGACACAGAAUCGGAAGCAGGCUCCAGGCUCUGAGCUGUCAGCACAGAGCCUCACGUGGGGCUAGAACUCACCAACUGUGAGAUUGUGACCUGAGCCAAAGUUGGAAGCUUAGCGGACAGUGCCACGGAGGCACUGAGACACCCCUAAACAUGGCAACUCUUAAUGUGAUAUCUACGUUGGAAAAACUUUUUUAAACACAAAAGCAUUGGAAGAUCUAUUGAAAUAAACAAUGCUAGUUUGAGAGUACAUAGAAAUUUAAAUGUUUUAAACUUCAAAAACUACUAUUAACACAUAAGGUUAAAAGUUUGGAAGGACAUACUCCAAAAAUGUUAGUCACGAGUCCAAGGGGUAGGAAUGUAGGAGAUUUUUACUUUCUUCUUUAUGAUAUGCUAUAAUGUCUGAUUUUCUUUACCAUGAUAGCCCAUUGUUUUCACGAUCACAAACAAAACACUAAGAUCCAGUAUAACUGGGCAAAUGGCACAGAUGGACAAUUCACAAAAUCGGAGUUUCAAAUGAUCAAUUAACAGGUUUUAAAAAAAAAACGUUUAUUAAAUCAACGAAUUAUAUCA